UGAAGUAGAGAAGAGAAAAAUAAAGAGACAGACGACUUAAGAGAAUUGGGCCCCGAUGCGAAUGUUAGGAAACUCUAGCGGGCCGUCCUCGUGAGCGUCAGCACUCUCACUGGUGCUUUCUCUCCGCAGGUGUGUGGGUGCAAUGUAUACCUGAAUGAUGUUAAUUGGUGAACAGAUUCCUACCAAGUAAAAUCAAUCAAUCAAUCAAUCAGAGAAGGAAAAUAUAAUAAAAAAGAAAAAUUGGAAUGAGAAAGAAAAGGGAAACGGAUGCUGCGUCGCAAGCCGUCGCGAGGAUUCCUUUGGAUGCUUGUGCGCGUUUCCCAGGCCCGUCGGUCUUCCAUCCCUGAACCGAUAAACGCGGUGACCGGCGCCUUCACAGUAAUUAUGAUUAAUUUUAUAAUCCAGUCUGGUAGUUUUAAGAAGCGAGUUCUUGCAUCCUCGCCUCGGCGGGGGUGUGGAGCGCCAGCGAGCCCAAGGUCUCCCUGGCGAGCAUGGCAGGACUGGAGGGCUCCAGGCAGGGCUCCUCGGCGUCCCUCGGGGCCCCGACGGAGGUGCCGGAGAUCUUCCGGCUACAAACCCGGGCAGGUGGAGCUCGUUAGCCGUGGUAGGCAAUCUGCCUAGGAGAGCAAACUCCGAACAAUAAACCCGGGCAGGUGGAGGUCGUCAGCCGUGGUAGGCAAUCUGCCUAGGAGAGCAAACUCCGAACAAUAAACCCGGCCAGGUGGAGGUCGUCAGCCGUGGUAGGCAAUCUGCCUAGGAGAGCAAACUCCGAACAAUAAACCCGGCCAGGUGGAGGUCGUCAGCCGUGGUAGGCAAUCUGCCUAGGAGAGCAAACUCUAAACAAACCCGGGCUUGUGGUGCUCGUUAUACUGUCGUAGACAAUCCACGCGAUGGGAACACCAAAGAAAAGGAAAAUAAAAAGGAACACCAGAAAAAUGGAAAAUACAGAAACGAAACGUCAAGAAAAGAAACAAAAAGAUCAUCCACCUUUAGGCCCUAACAUCGCCAAAAUUAUGGAUGGGUCUCUUCUGGGGAGAAAGCGGCUCAUCCAGACCAAAGAACAUCAACAAAAGGAUGAUAUGAAUAAAUUAAAUAAAAACACAUAAAGAAAAACACAUCAAGGAAAGAAAAAUAUAACAAACAGCAUCCACCUUCCGACCCUGACUAACAUCACCAAAAUUAUGGGUGGGUCUCUUCUGGGGAGAAAGCGGCUCACCCAGACCAAAGAACAUCAACAAGGGAUGAUAUAGAAAAGAACACCAAAAAAAAUGGAAAAAGAACAGAAAAAACAUCGAAAAAGAAAAGCAACAGAAAUAAAUGAACAACAUCAAGAAAAGAGAAAUACAAAGAAACAUCAUCCACCUUUCGGUCCCAAACAACAUCACCAAAAUUAUGGAUGGGUCUCUUCUGGGAGGAAAGCGGCUCAUCCAGACCAAGGAACAUCAACAAAAGGAUGAUAGGAAAAAAAUAACAACAAAAAGCAUCAAUAAGAAGUAAAAGAAAAAGAACAGGAAAACAUCGAAAAAGAAAACUAAAGCAAUAAAAAGAACGAAAAACACGACAUCAAGAAAAUGAAAUAAAACAAACAUCAUCCACCUUUCGGC